rnacentral:rRNA from 1 species
GACGAACGCUGGCGGCAGGCUUAACACAUGCAAGUCGAACGCCCCGCAAGGGGAGUGGCAGACGGGUGAGUAACGCGUGGGAAUCUACCCAGUUCUACGGAACAACUGAGGGAAACUUCAGCUAAUACCGUAUACGCCCUACGGGGGAAAGAUUUAUCGGAAUUGGAUGAGCCCGCGUUGGAUUAGCUAGUUGGUGAGGUAAUGGCUGACCAAGGCGACGAUCCAUAGCUGGUCUGGGAGGAUGAUCAACCACACUGGGACGGAGACACGGCCCAGACUCGUACGGGAGGCGACAGGGGGGAAUUUUGGACAAUGGCCGCAAGCCUUAUCCAGCCAUGCCGCGUGUGUGAUGAAGGCCUUUGGGUUGUAAAGCUCUUUCAGUGGGGACGAUAAUGACGGUACCCACAGAAGAAGCCCCGGCUAACUUCGUGCCAGCCGCCGCCGUAA